UAGGUUUUUCAUGUAUUCGUGUUAGAUAUCAGUUUUUUGGGUUGCAGUUACCACCCUCAACCACGAGAGGGCAGCACUACUGUGCGCGUGCAGGAGAAAGCUUCCGUCUUCCGAUGACGCAGCGUUUUCCUGAUGUUGUCAAAUUCUGGCUCCGUCCAGCAGAGGACACUUGUGUCUCACUGGUUUGACAUUGACCAUGAGCCUCAUGAAGGAGGGAAGGACCAUCACCUGCAGCUCAAUCUGACUCUGAACCAGAGUCAUUAAACCAUUUAGCAACAAUCAAACCAGAGGACCCUCAGCAGGUCUUCACUCUAUCAUCAGCAGGAGCUCCUACAUGUUCCAGGUGAUCUGAGUCUUCAUGUGAUUUUUUUAUUUUUCUAAACCUUUCAUAGUUUAAAAGCUAGAAAAUUAUUUUUCCAUGGUCAAAACUCUUUUUUAUCCUUUUUAGAUUGUGGCAUAAAGGGAAUAGAUCCAACCAACUGAUGAAUCUCUUGAGGUGCAGCUGGAUGAAAACUGCUGCGAUGACACGCCCCGAUGCGCCUUCUGUGCUGCUCUGAGAUCCUUUUGCUGCGUGGAUGAUUUAUGGCGUCGUUCCGGCUCCGGACCUCCGCAUCCAGAUUGGUCUGCAUGGUGUCCAGGACGCGCUGACUGUUUCUCUUCAGCUGGUCGAUCUCCUCGUCCUUCUCCGCGACCUUCUUGUCCACCUCGGACUUCACCUGGUUCAGCUCUAACUGGACCCUCAGGAUCUUGGAUUCCUCGUGCUCCAGAGAGGCCUGGACACACAACGGAUCAUGAUGUGAAAGUUCUCACAGGUUUCUGGUUUUCUUCUUCUCCGUACCUCAGCUUCUUCCAGAGCUGCCUGAGCCUCCAGCUUCUCCUGCUCAGCCUGCUUCUUGGAUUUCUCCAGCUCGUGGAUGGAUUUUCCCAUCUCUCCCAUCUGCUCGGUGAGGUCCAUUAUUUCUUCUGCAGCAAAAGGAAAUGUGAGGAUCCUUCACCGUUAAAUGAAACAGCGGCAUUACUGAGGAUCAGACGGACGUUGGAGGUUUUUAUUCUCUCGUUUGAGGGUCUCCAGCUGCUCCAGGCAUUCUUCAAAGGCGUUCUUCAUCUUGAAGUUCUCCGUGCCCAAAGAGCGCGCCUCCUUCAGAGAGGACUCCAGCUCCGCCUGAGCCUCCUCGUGCUUCUGCUUCCACUCAGCCAAAACCUUCAGGGCAGAGAUGGUGCAGUCAGUGCUUCAGUUUGA
rnacentral:lncRNA from 1 species